GGGCCCGCACAAGCGGUGGAGCAUGUGGUUUAAUUCGAUGCAACGCGAAGAACCUUACCAGGUCUUGACAUCCUCGGAACUUGGCAGAGAUGCCUUGGUGCCUUCGGGAGCCGAGUGACAGGUGCUGCAUGGCCGUCGUCAGCUCGUGUCGUGAGAUGUUGGGUUAAGUCCCGUAACGAGCGCAACCCUUGUCCUUAGUUGCCAGCACGUCAUGGUGGGAACUCUAGGGAGACUGCCGGUGACAAACCGGAGGAAGGUGGGGACGACGUCAGGUCAUCAUGGCCCUUACGACCUGGGCUACACACGUGCUACAAUGGCUGGUACAGAGGGUUGCGAAGUCGCGAGGCCGAGCAAAUCCCUUAAAACCGUUCGUAGUCCGGAUUGGAGUCUGCAACUCGACUCCAUGAAGUCGGAAUCGCUAGUAAUCG
rnacentral:rRNA from 1 species